AUAUUCAUGUGUAAAGCUAUGUGCCCACUUUUUGCCAAAACAUGUUUAUAAUGAAGAACAUUUUUCCCAAAAUAAAGAACAACUACAACAUUGAACAAAAGGCUAAGAACAAGUUCAGCACAGUGGUUGCUCUAAGUUCACGUCAAUGUGAAUUGGUAGAACAAAUCAAAUCUACUUGACGAAUCAAACAAUUUUUUUUUGCAAACUUCAAAUGAGUUAAAUUCAAAAUAGAAAAACAUAUUUUGUUUCAAACCUUG
rnacentral:lncRNA from 1 species